ACAUGCAAGUCGAGCGGUAGCACAGAGAGCUUGCUCUCGGGUGACGAGCGGCGGACGGGUGAGUAAUGUCUGGGAAACUGCCUGAUGGAGGGGGAUAACUACUGGAAACGGUAGCUAAUACCGCAUAACGUCGCAAGACCAAAGUGGGGGACCUUCGGGCCUCAUGCCAUCAGAUGUGCCCAGAUGGGAUUAGCUAGUAGGUGGGGUAACGGCUCACCUAGGCGACGAUCCCUAGCUGGUCUGAGAGGAUGACCAGCCACACUGGAACUGAGACACGGUCCAGACUCCUACGGGAGGCAGCAGUGGGGAAUAUUGCACAAUGGGCGCAAGCCUGAUGCAGCCAUGCCGCGUGUGUGAAGAAGGCCUUCGGGUUGUAAAGUACUUUCAGCGGGGAGGAAGGCGAUAAGGUUAAUAACCUUGUCGAUUGACGUUACCCGCAGAAGAAGCACCGGCUAACUCCGUGCCAGCAGCCGCGGUAAUACGGAGGGUGCAAGCGUUAAUCGGAAUUACUGGGCGUAAAGCGCACGCAGGCGGUCUGUCAAGUCGGAUGUGAAAUCCCCGGGCUCAACCUGGGAACUGCAUUCGAAACUGGCAGGCUAGAGUCUUGUAGAGGGGGGUAGAAUUCCAGGUGUAGCGGUGAAAUGCGUAGAGAUCUGGAGGAAUACCGGUGGCGAAGGCGGCCCCCUGGACAAAGACUGACGCUCAGGUGCGAAAGCGUGGGGAGCAAACAGGAUUAGAUACCCUGGUAGUCCACGCCGUAAACGAUGUCGAUUUGGAGGUUGUGCCCUUGAGGCGUGGCUUCCGGAGCUAACGCGUUAAAUCGACCGCCUGGGGAGUACGGCCGCAAGGUUAAAACUCAAAUGAAUUGACGGGGGCCCGCACAAGCGGUGGAGCAUGUGGUUUAAUUCGAUGCAACGCGAAGAACCUUACCUGGUCUUGACAUCCACAGAACUUAGCAGAGAUGCUUUGGUGCCUUCGGGAACUGUGAGACAGGUGCUGCAUGGCUGUCGUCAGCUCGUGUUGUGAAAUGUUGGGUUAAGUCCCGCAACGAGCGCAACCCUUAUCCUUUGUUGCCAGCGGUUCGGCCGGGAACUCAAAGGAGACUGCCAGUGAUAAACUGGAGGAAGGUGGGGAUGACGUCAAGUCAUCAUGGCCCUUACGACCAGGGCUACACACGUGCUACAAUGGCAUAUACAAAGAGAAGCGACCUCGCGAGAGCAAGCGGACCUCAUAAAGUAUGUCGUAGUCCGGAUUGGAGUCUGCAACUCGACUCCAUGAAGUCGGAAUCGCUAGUAAUCGUAGAUCAGAAUGCUACGGUGAAUACGUUCCCGGGCCUUGUACACACCGCCCGUCACACCAUGGGAGUGGGUUGCAAAAGAAGUAGGUAGCUUAACCUUCGGGAGGGCGCUUACCACUUUGUGAUUCAUGACUGGGGUGAAGUCGUAACAAGG
rnacentral:rRNA from 1 species